UUAACCGAAAACCCCUCUUCCCGAUUUGCCUCUUGAUUCAUCACUGGACACUUGUUGAUUCAAGGGUUUAGCUAGAUUAGGGUUCUUCUUUUGGAAUUGACUCUUUUUGUGCUGGAUUCUUUCCCUGAUCGGAUUGGUCAUCUUCUUGUGGUUGGUUUAGGUUUCGGUUGAAGAUGAUGGGAUCAAUCGAGUUGUCGAGCAGAGGCUUGAAGGUUUAUUGUGUGAUCUGUGAUCUCCAAUCUUGUGAUUGAUCAGUCUUCUCUUUGAUUGAUUCCGGCCACCACAUCCUUGGCAACAGAUUAGUACGCUUAAGGGGAGAAAUCCAGCAGGGAGGUUGUGUUCUGGAGGUGAGCGAUAGGGAUCUUGGACCUUAUCUUCCUUGCUGCUGAUUAAGGUCACGAUUAAGUGAGGUGAAGUUCUGGAUUGUGAAGUAAACCCAGCAGAGAGGAUCAGUAGGCUGUGAGCUGUCCUGUUUCUGUGGAUUUAGAAUUGGGUGCUGUGGUGUUCUUGAUCCAACAUCAACAGGGGCUGUGAGCUUGAGGACUCUGAUUCGAGACGGGCGUCUCGACUUCGGAUUUGGAUUGUACCAUCUAUUUGAGGC